AUUGAACGCUGGCGGCAUGCUUUACACAUGCAAGUCGAACGGUAACAGGGUGCUUGCACCGCUGACGAGUGGCGAACGGGUGAGUAAUACAUCGGAAUGUACCCAGUAAUGGGGGAUAACGCUUCGAAAGGAGUGCUAAUACCGCAUACGCCCUGAGGGGGAAAGUGGGGGACCGCAAGGCCUCACGUUAUUGGAGCAGCCGAUGGCUGAUUAGCUAGUUGGUGAGGUAAGGGCUCACCAAGGCGACGAUCAGUAGCGGGUCUUAGAGGACGAUCCGCCACACUGGAACUGAGACGCGGUCCAGACUCCUACGGGAGGCAGCAGUGGGGAAUCUUGGACAAUGGGCGAAAGCCUGAUCCAGCAAUGCCGCGUGCGUGAAGAAGGCCUUCGGGUUGUAAAGCGCUUUUGUCUGGGAGCAAAUCCUGGCCUCUAAUACAGGUCGGGGAUGAGAGUACCAGAAGAAUAAGGACCGGCUAACUACGUGCCAGCCGCCGCCGUAAAAC
rnacentral:rRNA from 1 species